UCUAGGGGAAAGCAAACGGCUCCAACCCAAAAACAAAAUCAAUAACCCCAAAGAAAAGUGGGAGACACACAUAUAAAAUAUAUGUAAUUUAUUAAGACAUGAUCAAAUAACAAAUACUAUAU